ensembl:rRNA 5S_rRNA 5S ribosomal RNA
AUCUAUGUCCACACCCCGCUGAAUGCUCCAGAUCUCAUAUGAUUUCGGAAGUCUGCAGGAUUGGGCGUGGCAAGUCUGGGGAUGGGCCUUUAAAGAGCUUAAUCUUGUCUACAUGCAGC